rnacentral:rRNA from 1 species
GUGGGGAAUCUUGCGCAAUGGGCGAAAGCCUGACGCAGCCAUGCCGCGUGGAUGAUGAAGGUCUUAGGAUUGUAAAAUCCUUUCACCGGUGAAGAUAAUGACUGUAGCCGGAGAAGAAGCUCCGGCUAACUUCGUGCCAGCAGCCGCGGUAAUACGAAGGGGGCUAGCGUUGCUCGGAAUUACUGGGCGUAAAGGGCGCGUAGGCGGACAGCUUAGUCAGAGGUGAAAGCCCAGGGCUCAACCUUGGAAUUGCCUUUGAUACUGGCUGUCUUGAGUUUGGGAGAGGUGAGUGGAACUCCGAGUGUAGAGGUGAAAUUCGUAGAUAUUCGGAAGAACACCAGUGGCGAAGGCGACUCACUGGCCCAAUACUGACGCUGAGGCGCGAAAGCGUGGGGAGCAAACAGGAUUAGAUACCCCAGUAGUCC